rnacentral:tRNA from 1 species
AGCUUUAUAGUCAAGGAAAUAUGAUAUUAGACUGCAAUUCUGAAGGGGUAGAUUAAAUUUACUGGGGCUU